UAACGAAACACUGGGCCGCCUGCAGCGGAGCGCGCGAACUUAACCACUCGGCCACGGGGCCAGCCCAGGAUCAAACUAAUUUUAAUAGCUAAAAUGCAUUUACACUUAUUUGUACUCUAUUUCAAGUUGAAUUUAAAAGAAAGCAAAAAUGUUCCCAAAUGCUAUAUGCCAGUAGUAGCAAUUAGGAGUUUAAUUAAUUCUAAGCAUAGAAUAUGAAAAUACAGAAUUAGUAAUCUAUAAUUGAUAAGAUUCAUUGUAAAUAGGUAUUAGAUGGAGCAUUCAUCAACUAAACAAAUAGUAUUUUAUAUACAAAUGUAGAGAGAGAAAUUCAUGUCUUCAAUGUUUCUUUUGACCUUAGUAUUCAGCAGUAAUCAUCUUCAGUUUCUUGAUAUUUCAGUUUUCUUAGCCAAAAUGUUCUAAUAAUCUGAUUACUACUUGUUGAAUAUCCAAAAGAAGCCUCCCGAUCAGGAAUUGUCAAAUGUAAAUGUGCAAAGUGAUGUUCAUACACACUGGAUUUAUGCAUGUUAAUAUUAUUAGUCAUCAUAAGACAUUCAAAAUCGACAUUAAAGUAAGUAAUGCUGUAUUUGAAGGCCUCUAGAUGUGUAUGGCACUUAUGCUGAACAUUUUUAAAGAGAAUGUCUCCUAUGAAAAUGUACUUAUAUUUUUACAGUUUGAUAAUCUUUUAUUUUAAUGAUAUGAUUGCUAAAAUGUCUCUUUAUAGUUUAGCUACACAGAAACAGUUUCAAAGAAUUGCUUUACACACACCCAUGGACACACACACACUCACAUGCCUACUUUCAGAAUUUUCUAAAUAGUAAUUACUUCUUUAGAUUUGUAGUCUAUAACUCAUGGUAUUUUUGGUAUCCAAAAAUAUUUACUUUUUGCUUCCAUUUAAGUAAUUUUAGUCUAAAAGCACUUACUAAUCAUAACAACACAGCAGAGUUUGUUUUGUAAACAUUUACUUUAUUAUUAGCCUUUGUUUUCCAAUACAAUGCUUUAAAAAUAUCCUCUGUUGUAUAAAGGACAUUGUUGCAAAAAGGCAGCUCAAAACUUGUCCUUCCCUUCCUUUCACUGAUCUGUUGCCUGUUAAGUAAUAUGAACAGCUGUCUCUAGCUCACCCACAAGCAGGCUGAACAUCAUAAUAAGGUAGUGUUACUGGCCCACAUCUAUGAAUGAUUAUACAGAGGGUGCCAGUUCUUUUCCAUUAAAGAUAAGAUAACAAACAUACCAUAGAGAAGAAAACUGGUUAGCAAAAGCAAGCGAGUGCUUCUGACUUUAAGGUUUAGUCACUUCUCUGGUAACCCCUGAGUUUCUCUUUCAGUUGGGUUUCCAAUAAGGUGAAGGUGCCCUCUGUAGGAGACUUCCAGUAAAUGCUGCUUCUUUCUAUCUGGGUGACAACACACAAGUCAUUUUCCCUCCUUUCCAGUUUAUAAACAAACAAUCACAGUGUCUGUGUUAACACAGUUUGAAGUCUUUAUAAAUCCUAGAGGGAAAUUAGGAUAAAGCCUACAAUCGACUAUGUAAAUCUAGUGCCUUUUCAAAAAGAGAGAAAUUGAACACAGAGAAAGUUGUACGGCACAUUGGUGUUUGAUAUUUACUGACAUUGUGGUACAUAAUAGGGUGAGUAUUAUAAAUUCAGACAAGUUACUGAAAGCAGAAAAACAGAAGGUCUUGGCAUAGUUGAGUGAAAAGUGGAUCUAAACAGAAGAAUCUACAAGCGGAGAGACACAUUCACCACCUAAUAAAUAUACCUCCCCAAAAGGUCUUCUUAUCUUCCCUUCUUAUAAAGGUUACCAUAAUGCAGAUUCAUUAUCAGUCCCACUGGGUAGCAUAUAGCUUCGUAAGAAAUUGCUUUUGUUAGCAUGCUCAUAGAAAGAGAUUAGCUAUUUCACCAGAUCUCUUGGGGCUAUUUGAAAUUUUGGGAAUUCUCUCUGUAAUUUAAAAUGGAAGUUAAAGCCAAUGUGAAUAGACUAGGGAAAAUCUCACAAAUUAAACCUUUCCAUCUGGAAAUUUCUUCAUCACUCAUUACCAAAGUACAAGCUGAAAUCACAUUUGUUACAGGCAGGAGAAGUUUCAUCAGUGAUGAUGCAAUCAUAUGUAUAUUAAUGUUUUAAUAAUUAAGCAUUUUGGUUGCAAAUAAAAACCUAAAAUUUAAAUGCUUAACAGCAUUUUGGAUUUAAUUUUUGGUCUUUAUUGACUUUGCAUAUUACCUAGAGCUUCCCACUGAAGCCAUCUAUUUACAUGUUUUGGACUAUGACUCCAGCCCCUAUGGAAUGUGUGUAGAAGAAGCUGUCACCUGCAUUGCAAGUUAGGGGAUAAACAAGUAGGCAUGGAGCGUAUGAGAAGGGAAUAUCUGCUUCCUUUUACCUAUCUGACUGCAUUUGUCCUUUAAUACCAGCUCAGACAUCCCUUCUCUGUGAAUCUGUAUUCCCAUAGCACCAGGUAUAGACCUCAAUGGCAGUAUUUAUAGAGCAAUUACUAUAUGCUAGGCACUGCAUUAAAUAGCGUACAUAGAUUAUCUCAUUUAAUUCUUACAACACAUGAGAAGGAAAGGCAAUUGUUAUUAUCCCAGAACAAAAAUAAGGAAACUGAAGGUUGAGAGGUUAUGUUACUUGCCCAGUCUACCCCUAGGCCUGCUUUCUUUUCCACUAUGACCUAUUCCCUUCUGGUUGCACUUCUUUUCCCAUCUGACUGUCGUUCACAUGCUCAACUUAUUUGGGUCCCUGUUUUUCUAACACAACUGCCUGUUGAAUCCCCAACCAGGACUAACACAGCAAUCUGUGUUCACUCUGGAUGACUGAGCAUUGCUAAAGACUCUCUCACAGCUAUGCAGAUUGGUAUCCUUAAUUACUCAUGACUCUUAGUUACAAGCUUUAAAUUUAAGCUAGUUUAUCCAGAAAGGGUGCUGAAUAAGCUCACAUCAUCACAUUAAUAGGAGGUCAAGGCUCCAGUUAGUCUCAGAGAUGACUGCAACCACAGAUUCAAUACCACCUCAUGUUGUCUCUGAUCUCUGAAGACACAGUUUUGGGGAUCUCUUCCUCAGUUUUUCAGUCUGGCUUCUUCCAUACAGCAGGAUUCAUGGUGCCUAGCAGUAACCAUGCUCAGCGCUUCUAACUGCACCCCCACAGAUAGAUUGAGAUUAGCUUACUUGAUACCUAAGGUCAGAAAUCCAAGAAAGGGCUCUGGUUGGGUUACUUUGGGACAGAUAAACAUUUCUGGGUGAAUAAACAUGUCCAGGGCAAUGUUAGCCAGUGGUUAAGAAGGUGUAGGUUGUGAAGAAAGACACCUAGAAUUGAAAACCUGGUCUGUGUAUGACCUGGGACAAGUUUAUAUCUCUGGGCCUCAAUUUCCUUAUCUGAAAAAGGGGAGAUGACAAUAGUACCUACUUAAUUGCAUUGUUAUGAUGACUAAAUAAGUGAAUAUAAAAGACUUUGCAUAGUGGCUGGUUCUGAACAUGUUAGUUAUCACUGAUCACUCAGGUUUUAGGAUUGGUUCAGGUUGAGACAGAUAUCCAUUCACAGAUCAAUCACGGUAGCCAACGAGGCAGAGUAAUUUUAGAGCAUUACUGAUCACACUUGAGGCAUAUGCUUAGUCUGAGGGCUGACAAAUUUUCUAGACGGGGUAGACUUUUCCAGAUGAAGGCUUGAGGAGUGCUAGACAGGCAAAUCAGCAGAUGCCCGCUCUACAACUAUGAAAAAUGUACGAUCUCCUAUCCCAAAGGAGGGCCGCUCAACAAUCUUUUUUACGUGUCCUUGAUCAGCUCCAUCUCUCCUUCCUCUCGGUGAUAAUUCUAAAACUUCUUCAAAUUUUAGAACCAACUCCUCAUGUACCAGAUCCAUAUUGCCUAAUAACACUCCUUCUAUUGCAACAGGAAAUUUAAACUUGUCCAGUAUUCACCUUUUCUUGCCUGGACUGUUGCUAGAGCCUCCUAGCUCGCUCCCUUUCCCAGUCUCACCCUUCAUCCAUCCACAUUAUUUCCACAUCCACACUGGAACUUGUGUAUCUUCAAUAUAAAUCUGGUCAUACAGUUCACAUACUUAAAAUUCUUCAAUGGCACGUCUUCACUUUCAGGAUGAAGUCCAAGGUCAUACUGAGCAUGACCUAGAAGACUUUCUCUACCUCCCUUGUCUUGUAUUCAAAUACUCUCAUGCAUAAUUUUUAUUUCUGAAAGUCUAAAGUGCCAAAUUUGUAAAUUAAAUUAUCUUACUCUUCUGGCGAAAAUACUUCCAUUGCUUCUCAUUACACUUCGAACAGUUCUCUGUUCUUUUCCUUCAUGGUAUUAUUCAUAGCUGGUAAUUUUACAUUGGGUUGUAUACUUUUUUAUUGUAUGACUAUCUCUACUGGUAAUAACUUCUUUCAGAACAUUUCUAUUUUAUUCCUUAUGGUAUUCUCUGUCUAGUAUAGUGAUUGGUAUAUAGAAGGUGUACAAUAUUCGUUGAAAAAUUAAUGACCUAUUGCUAUUAAUACUGUUAUUUCAUGUCUGGCUUUUUGCUUAUAACUACCUCUUCCAAUAUUUAUUUGCUUUGGUAACUCUGUCUCAUCCAUCAGGACGUCUCUCCAAGAAACAUUCUCCAAACCCGCAAAAAAGCAAACUAUCUCAUAUCUAUGCUAUCACAUUAUCCUGUGUAUAUCUCUAUUUUAUUUGUUAUGCCUUAUGUCUGUCUUCAUUAAUGGUACAGAAUAGAUCUCAAUCAUCUUUUAAUCAUCACUGAGCAUGAUGCUUAACAUAUAACAAUCCUCAAGGUGAACUUUGCUUUCUUUAAGACACAGAUUAAACUUCACCUGAAUGACCAAAUUUUGAAUGAACGAAAUAUUAAAGAAUAAAUUACUUAAAUAAUUAUAUUCUACCUCUUCGUUAAUAACUUGCCUGAUAAUAUGAGCCUAAAUGCUUUCCCUCUUUUUAUCUUUUAUUUUAUCUACUAUUUAGCUACUAAUACAAUGUCUGUGAAAUUCGUUAAAAUUAUUGCCUUCAAUUACUAUUUUCACCUUGGACAAUUUAAAUUUUGAAUGGGUUUGUAUCUCAUUUUUUCAUCUCACCAGCUAGAGAGUAGGGGAUUUUGUCCUAGAUAAUCCUAGAAAAAGGCACAUAUACAUACAAUGUAAAUUUGAAGUAUACAUAAAUUCAGAGGCUUUAGAAUACCUAGUCUACUAUAUCAGUUAGAUUUUUCUGUAUAACAGUACAACCCAGAACUUUGUGACUUAAAAAAAAUCACUAUUUCAUUUAUUUUGUGCUUUAGUGGGAAGGCUGGGAUGGUACUACUCGUCCAGGUCAGCUCAGGUGGGUUGUAUGGUCUACAGUGGUUUCAUUAUGUGUCUGGUGAUUAGCAUAUCGGUUGGGCUAGGGUUUCACCAGGCAGUUGUGUUGGCUGUGGGUAUUCUUGUACAUGUUACUAACAGACAUAUACAAAAAAAAAAAGUACUAUGACCUGAAUUGUGUCCCCGAAAAUUCAUAUGUUGAGGUCUUAACCCCCCAAUGUAACUGUAUUUGGAGAUAAGAUCUUUUAGGAGGUAAUUAAGAAUAAAUAAAAUCACUAAGGUGGGGUCUUAAUCUGAUAGAGUUGGUGGCUUUAUGAGAAGUGGAAGAGAGAGACAUCCUUCUCUCCCUCUCCAGGAACACACAUCAAGGAAAGGCCAUGUGAAGACACAGCAAGAAGGUGGUUGUCUGCAAGCCAGGAAAGGAGCUCUCACCAAAAUCUCAAUCAGCCAGCACCUUGAUCUUGGACUUGCCAGCCUCCAGAACUAUGAGAAACAAAUAUCUGUUGUUUAAGCCAUGAAACCUAUGAUUUUAUUACAGUAUCCUGAGCAGACUAAGACACCAAGGAUGUGAGAAUGAGUCAUACUGUGGUGGGUCUGCAGCAUUCCUCCGCCCCCUUCUUCAGUAGCCCAGGUACUUUGCGGAGUGCUGACUGCUCCCCAGCAAGUCCUCAGUCGCCUGAAGCCAGUGGCAGUGGGGGAAUGUGGUCCUGAUUGGUUCUGGCAGACACUCUGAGUCCUGUUGAAGAGGAUCCUUGAGAUGAAGCAGAUAUCCCAGAAAGCGGAGCAGAAAGAAGGAAACAGUCCGCACUAAAUCUGGCAACCACGGAGCCUCCUCUAUCUCUGGACUUCCGAUGACUGGGGCUAAUAAACCUACUUUGUUGUUUGUGCUGUUCCACUUUGCUCUCUUGGCCCUCAUGACAUAAAAAGAGUCCUAACUCACUGCAACAUGAAAGAAGAAAGCAGAAUGGAGUGAAAUCAAACCAGCAAAGGGUGGAAAUCAUGAGAAAAAUCUAACCAUAAAUAAAAAUAAGAAUUAGA